UCAGGCAGUAACUUUUUCUAUUUGCUCCUGUUCUUUUUCAGUGCCUGUUGUCUGGCAUGUUGAGUCCUAGGCAUUAUUUCCCAGAGCAACUCAAACCAUCUUUACAAGGUUGCUUUUACAUCAAGCUUACAAAUAGGAGCAAUAGGGAAGGCUGACCUGGUUCCUAUCCAUCUGUUCUUAAUAAGUUUAGAUUUUCCUUCCAGAUGGUUUACAGCGAUGUCAGAGGGCCCAUUAAUUGGUGUGCCCGUGUUCAGCUUAGAAAUGCUUGGGAAAUGUCUACACAUGAUAUCCCCACCAUUGUGGGGAGCUUUGUCUUUACCCACUCCCAAGGAGAAGUUUUAUUUCAAUGUGUGUUCUGUAAAUAAUUUUUCUUGGUCUGUAUCUUCAGCUUUGGUCUCCUUACCUGUAUUUUUUUUUCAGUAUCAUUUUCCAUUGACUAAGUCCAAAGGAGGUGUUGGAAGUCACAUUGGUCUCUGCUUAAACAAUUUGUGCACCUUUUCAUUCUUCCUUCUUGCAGGCUCUUUCUGAGUGCAUUUUGCAGAUAGACUUUUGCAACUUCCAAUUUGUUUUUCUGUUAAAAAUUCCUGUAGGUUUAUGGGGCUUUUUUACUAUGUUCUGUAGCAUCCAUCUCAAGCUGUGAUCCAUUCUGUUGUCCUGAAGGCCAGCUGACCUUCAUUUUGUCUCUCAGCUCAAGCAAGUUCUUCUAAGAGUCUUUUUUCCUAUCCUUUUUCCUGUUUGAUCCUCAUACAAACUGAUCUCAUUUUAGCAAUGACAAAACCUGUGCCUUCACGUAACUUAUUUGACUGAAGGUCCUCACAUCUAUCCUAAUGUCUUAAAAAAACCCAUUUUUGUGUUUAUUUGUUUGUUUUGUGGGUUUUUUUGAUUGGUUGGUUGGUUUGGUUUGGUUGGAUUUUUUUCACUGAACAAGUCAAAUUCCUUACUAACAGAAUGUCCUCUGUACAUUUCCUUAGUCAGAAAUGUGAUUAGUUUCACUGCACAAAGUUGUGGGCUACUAACUAAACCUAAACUCUGUGACAAUGCUAUCAAAAUAGUUUUCCUAUACGGAUCUCCUCCACCUGCUGCUAUAUCUGCACAGUCUGAGUAACUCCAUGAUGUGUCCUGCUCAAUGGUUUUUCUUUUCCUUCCCAGAUCGACCUUUGGAUUAGUUUUCUUUUUUUCCCCCUCAACUUUGAGUUCUACUUGUUCCUGUUAACAUGUGGCAUCUAGGCAGUUUCCUGAGCUGAAACAUAAUUAAUGAGGCUCAUAAGUAAUGCUAAAGCUUCUUUUCAUAAUUGGGAAGAAAACUUGCAGGACUCUUCUCUACUAAAUGCCAUCAACCAACAUAAAAAUUAACAUAAUCCUCUAAUGACUGUGAACUCAAGAUGAUUGUGAAAGCUGUUGUUCAUAAAGAGAAGCAGCUCCUUGCAGUGGCACGAGGGACAUGGACUGGGUAGCCAGGUGAUCUAUUCCUGCACCUGUGGAGGUUUUGUUGGGGAACUCAGGCAAAUUCAGAAGUAUUGACUUCUACAGGUGAAAUAUGGUUAACAACCAAAUAAUACUAUUGUUAUCUAACCAGGCUCAGGUGUCUGCUCAGUGCAUAUUCUGUGGGCUGGCACACUCAGAGGGCAGAAAAUGGCAUGCCUGGGUUUGAGCACAGGCAAAACGAAAAUCCAAACCUUUUAGGACUUGUUUUCUUCCCUGAGGAUUUGGAAGCUGGACAAUUUUCUGGGCUGUGAAAUGAUGACAAUAGUCCAGGAAUUCCUGCAGAGUUUGGGUUUCCCUCUCAAGACUGCUGUUAAGCAAACUGCCAGAAACUGAUAAUCUUUUUCUUCUCCCUCCCUGUCCGUGUUCUCACUGCAUGUCUUGUGCCUUGCCUCAGUGUCUCCCCACAUGCAUUUUGAUGUAUUCAGUGGCAUCUCAUAAUUUUACUUAUAUCACUCAUGAGAGGACCAUCAGAGGCUGAUGUCUGAAUGUUGUUUAUUUUCUUAACCAAACCAGAGCCUUUCAAAACUGCUUUAAUCUGAUUUUUUUUAAUAUAUGUUGUGUGUGCAUCUGUGAGGAGAGUGCUCUUUUCUAUUGGGAUUCCUAACAACUUACAGCAGAAGACAGUGCCAGAAAGCUCUCCUACAUGCUGACAAUUUGACCAUUUUGAGACCUUUUUGAGAGCUGUGGUCAUGUUCUCUUUUCUGGUGUGGAAGAGCUGAGGAGAAGGCAGCAAGCACCACAGACUGCCGAGAUGGAUGGGACUCUGGGGAUGCACCAGUCCUCAACUGUGUGUGCUGUGGUGAGGAGGGAGCAGGGUCCAGGAAACAGCUUCUGGUGGGAGGUGGGGUUCAGCUGGAAUGCACUGGGAAACUCCAAGUUGUAGGCAAUUACCUCUGGUUAGCAAGUAAAAUGCUGUUCUGCAAGUCCUUUAAGCCUUUUUUUUUUUUUUUUUAAAUGAUGGAUAAUUCCUCUCUUUUUUUUCUAGUCUCCAAAUAACUGUGCUCUUGCUUUAACCUCUGCACAGUCAGAGAAGACAAUUCAGGCUGACCAGACUGGCACUCUCCAGUUUCAAGCAGGUUAUUGGCAGUAUGAGAUCAACUUCAAAGGAAACUCAGCUCUGAAAACAGGCUGCCUUUACAGAUGGCUUGGGAAUUUGUUGAAAACUCAUUUUAAUGUGAAAGUUCUGGUAUGUGAGAAGAGCUCACUUCCUGCAUACUUCUGCUGAAAAACAAAUCCCAGAAAAUCACCUGCUUUUCCCAUCAAAACCAUCAAAUCUGGAGCCAUCCCCAUCUAUAAACUCACUUGGAAAUAACUCCAGAGCCUGGAUUUGCACCUUCUUCUUCUGAGGAGCCUCUACUCUGCCUCUGAGGGCAGUCAGAGGAGGGUGAAGGGCAUCAGGGAGCAAGGAGGGUGGCACUGCACAAGGGCGGUGAAGGGAGGUGACAUGCACGCGUAAUCAGAUGGCACUGCAGUCGCCAGCAGUCCUUAGUGGGGGACACAGAGAGAAGAGAUGGGCAUAAGAGAGACCCUCCAACCUGCUGUGCUCCAGGGACUGGCAAAGGGUGUGCAGUGACAGGACAAGGGGUGGCAGCUUUAAACUGAAAGAGGGUAAGCUUAAAUGAGAUAUUAGGAAGAGAUUCUUUACUGUGAGGGUGGGGAGGCACUGGAAUAGGAUGCCCAGGGAAACUGUGGAUGCUCCAUCCCUGGAAGUGUUCAAGGCCAGAUUGAACAGAGCUUUGGGCAGUCUGUGGAAGGUGUUCCUGUCCAUGGCAGGAGGGUUAGAACUAGAUGAUCUUUAAGGUCCCUUCCAACCCAAACUAUUCUGUGAUUCUACAAUUCCAGGAAACACAUCAGAGAGACCCUGAUGCAGCUCAGACAUGAGUCCAUGAUCUGACAGGUUUAGAUCACUGGCCUUUCCCCAUAACUUGUAUAGAUGCUAAAUCCAACCUGUCUGUGACACACUGCCAAUUGCUAACAAAUAUCUCUCUGCUUUGUCCAGAACAAGGUGCUGUCCCUAUAACUUCUGCAGAUGUGGUGCCAUGCUUUCAGAUUCACCUGUGCACUUUUGAAUUUCAAGUUGCUUCACAGAAAUACGUGCUAGACUUCAAAGGCAGCACUUCAGGUGACUGUGAGUGUUUUCCCUGUGCUUAUCAUCACAAGAUCAGAGAGGAGAUGGUCUCUUCUUUCAACACCACAAGAAGAGCUUGUGCUGGUUGGAAGUCAGGUAGAAAGAGUACAUGGAAAAGAGAAGCCCGGGCUGGAGGUGAAUGAGUGUCUCCUGUUCCGCAGUACGAAUCCAUCUGAUAUGCCUGCUGCCUGAAGCUGCUUUUCUAGAGAUGCCACUUGUUCUCAUUGAUGCUGUCCCUCCAGCACAGACCACCACAGCACAUUUGUAAGUGAAGUUCUUGUUGGAGAUUUUGUUCAGGGAAACCACAACUACCAUUGCCUUCCAACCAGACCUGAGAUUUCAGACAUUUGAACUGCUUUGUAAAUAAUGAAAAAGAAAUCCUCCCAUCUUUGUCAUUUUUGAGAAGCACCAGAUUUACCUGGCAUACAUCUUGGAGGAUAUGCAUUCAUCCUGAUAAAGAUGAUGUCAGAGGUAACAAUGUCUCACCUGGAAAUAACACUUCAAGGUUCACCUUUUUUGAACUCUGUGUUGCAUAUAAGAACCUCAUAUCUGACAUUCAGCUAUACUGCAGCUGUUUCACUCACAGGAAGGAAACUACAAAUAUGACUUAUGGAAUGGCUGAGUCCACUCUGAGAGUUGUUUUCCUUCUAAACAGGCUGGUAGCAGUUAAAUCAUAAUAAAUAAUACAACCAUUGCAGUGUGGCGAUGAUUUGGAUACAAGUGCAAUAUAGAUUUAAAUGUGCAUUGUGGUUAAUUUCUGAAACUAAUUGCUUCCAUGUAAAGUACAGUACACAAGUAGAUGUUUUUUAGGACAUACUUGGGGAAAUGAAUAUAGAAAUGGGGAAAAUGGAGCAUAAAAAGCAUGUUUGAGGGGUGACUCUCUGGAGUUGUUUUUCCAUG